rnacentral:rRNA from 1 species
CCUACGGGAGGCAGCAGUGGGGAAUAUUGGGCAAUGGGCGCAAGCCUGACCCAGCAACGCCGCGUGAAGGAAGAAGGCUUUCGGGUUUUAAACUUCUUUUUUCAGGGACGUAGCAAGUGACGGUACCUGAGUAAUAAGCCACGGCUAACUACGUGCCAGCAGCCGCGGUAAUACGUAGGUCGCAAGCGUUAUCCGGAUUUACUGGGUGUAAAGGGAGUGUAGGCGGGACUGCAAGUCAGAUGUGAAAACCACGGGCUCAACCUGUAGACUGCAUUUGAAACUGUAGUGCUUGAGUACUGGAGAGGCAGACGGAAUUCCUAGUGUAGCGGUGAAAUGCGUAGAUAUUAGGAGGAACACCAGUGGCGAAGGCGGUCUACUGGACAGCCACGGACGCUGAGGCGCGAAAGCGUGGGGAGCAAACAGGAUUAGAUACCCUUGUAGUC